GACGAACGCUGGCGGCGUGCUUAACACAUGCAAGUCGAACGAAGUGGCGAACGGGUGAGUAAAGCGUAAUCAACCGGCCCUUCAGAGGGGGACAACAGUUGGAAACGACUGCUAAUACCGCAUACUGAAGGAGGGGAUUGCGUCGGAUAAGGUAGGUGGAGGGGAAACGGCCCACCAAGGCGAUGAUCAGUAGCCGGUCUGAGAUGAUGAACGGCCAAAUUGGGACUGAUACACGGCCCAGACGCCUACGGGAGGCAGCAGUGGGGAAUCUGCCGCAAUGGACGAAAGUCUGACGGAGCAACGCCGCGUGAGGGAUGACGGCCUUCGGGUUGUAAAGCUCUGUUAAGCGGGACGCGGUACCGGAAUAGAAAGCCACGGCUAACUACGUGCCAGCAGCCGCGGUAAUUC
rnacentral:rRNA from 1 species